rnacentral:rRNA from 1 species
CCCUUAGAUGUUCUGGGCCGCACGCGUGCUACACUGAGUGGAUCAGCGGGUCAGGUUGCGCGAAAGCGUUUCCUAAUCUUUAAAUCCGCUCGUGAUGGGGAUUGACGGUUGCAAUUUUCUGUCAUGAACGAGGAAUACCUUGUAAGCGCGGGUCAUCAUCCCGCGCUGAAUACGUCCCUGCCCUUUGUACACACCGCCCGUCGCUCCUACCGAUUGAGUGGUCCGGUGAAAUCUUGGGAUUUUGUUUUGUUUGCAUUUAUUUGUAUCGAGACGAGAGAACUUGAGUAAACCUUACCAUUUAGAGGAAGGUGAAGUCGUAACA